CGUUCUCAUCAAUCUGCGUAUAAAUAACACGACUUUACACUUUCUAAUUGCGUGUAAUGCAUACGCCAAAUGCCAAUUUUGCGUGCAUAUGAUACGCCAAUCCUUCACAUUAACUUCGGUGGAGAGCAGAUGCGUACAAAUACCACGCGUCAUCUUCAGCGACAGUGACGUCACCAGCGAGGCUCAGUUCGUUCAGUUCACCUGAUGCGCGUACACCUUCAAACAGAAUUAACAGGGAACUUCAACUCGACGCUCCCAAUGCUGAUCUUGAAGAAGCUGUCAAGGAGGCUGAACAAGUCCUUCAAAGGUUCAACCCUUCACAGCUGAAAGGGAAGACCAACGGAAGGGCUGUCAUGGGAUUUGAAUUUGACCAUCUUGUGCGUUUAUGGAGAAGACCAAAAGCUGCAAAGGCAAACACUUCCAAUGGUACGUCUGUGUUGGUCUGAGCACUUUGACUGAA